AAGCAAUAAGACAAUUCCCCCUUUUUUCACCCAAAACUUAAUCAUCUUUCAAAUAUUUGAGAAAAUUAUAAACUAUAUAAGCGUGUGCCUCAAAAGCAAGCAUUGCUGAGGAUAGAACAUCUUUAUCUCUUCAGCGGUUUGGGACGCAAUAAUGAAGGUGAAGGAAACAGACAACAACUUGCAUAAUCUAAGGGUUUUUGAAGACCAACUUUAAGAAUGUUAUUAAUUCAAUUUGCAGUGGCUGAGGAUUCCUUGAGAUGGAAGCAUCUCUAGCAAGGCAAAAAUAUAGAAUGUAGA
rnacentral:misc_RNA from 1 species